AUUUUGUUGCCAUCUGGGGCUUUUAUAGAGUACGAUAAGAGAGCAUAAUUGCAGUUCUUUGGCAUCCUAUUGUCGCUACUUUUUCUAGUCUGAAGAUGAAGGAGUCAUAGAUGGCAAUGGAGAUUGUUGGCUUUUCUUAGAGUAACCAUCAAUGAUUAUGCGGAUCUUUCAAUUCAUCUCUUAGAGGUCGAAAGUGCUAUGGCGAAAUUACUUCUUUUAUUUUCCACUGUAUUCACUUUGUAAUACAUAAUGUCUUUCUGAUGAUGAAAGUUCAAAGGCUAUUAUGACUUGUGUAUUUCGCAUAAAGUUUAUGCCAUUGAAAAAGAAAUUAGAAAAGAACAAAAAAAAAAAUUUGGAUUGUUUUUUGAGGAUAUAUUUUUGUCAAAUUGUCGUGUUUGAGUUAUCUUUGUUUACAU